rnacentral:rRNA from 1 species
AUGAACGAUCGAACCAACCGCCAGAGCAGAGAAGCCAAGUCGACCAUAUUUCGGCGGAGGAGUCCCUAUGAUCGAAGCUGCCAGGACGCCCGACCGUACGUCGGCGCCAUGGACGCCGGGAUAGCAACCGCGACGGAUUUGUGGAGAGCUUUUCUUAGGGUGGAUUUGCGCUCCAAUUUGGUUUCCCCUCUUCUUGGAUUCCAAUAUGGUUGGGCGCACUUCGGCGCACACGAGUCGCUCGACGAAAUGCGGCGGCACUCGCACUUGGUCGAGGACGCCGGCCCGCUCCGCCUGGCUUCGCGAUUCUGGAACAACCAGCGUAACCGCCAGUUCCAUACCCCUAUAAAGCCACCGGCGGCUUCGUCGGCCCUGCCGCCUCCUCUCACCUCCACCCUCCAGCCUCCCACCUCCAACCUCCGUGCCCCCUCCAUCCUCCUCCCACCUCCAGCCUCCACCCGCCUCCGCGCCUGCCGCCAUGGAAGCGGCACGCGUAUUCCUCCCCCUUCCACGCCGCCCACCGGUACUCUUGCCUCUUCCUCCCCGCGCCCCGCUCCUUCUUGCGGCCAGGCUCCCGCCGCGUGCCAUGACGGACCAGGAGCACGAGGAGGUGGUCAGGUGGCUGGCGAGGAUCUACGGCUGGCUCAAGAAGGGGAAGAAGCUGGCAAAGGGCAUGAGUCGCUUCACGGCCAGCUCUCCGUCGAGAAUCAGUCGCACCCCGUCCUUCCCCGACCUGCGGGACUUGAUCGAGCGGCUGGCUCGGAGGGCCGACGCCGUCACGCUAGCAGCACUACUCGGGGCGGCGCUGCUGCUCUACAUUAUCAGGAGGUCGGGCGCCGACGCCGACGAGGAGGAGGAGGAGGAGGGGAUCGUCCUCACCGCGCGCCUUCCGCCAUCGGCCCGGCGGCGCCUGGUCCUCAUGACCCUGCCCUUGGUGCCCCGCGGACCCGGAGCACGGCGACCUCCGUGGGCGUGGAGCCUGCGCUUCGUCGGGCACGCUGCCGCAGCAGUACACCCACAGCGUCUCAUCUUCCCAGCGAGACAUGGCCGCACCGAGCAGAUCCGCUUCUUGGCAGGGAGCCAUGGCGUCCCCCAGCAUCGCCCCAUCUUCGCAGGGAGCCUUGGCCGCACCGCACCCAGCAGCGCCGCUUCUUGGCAGGGAGCCUUGGCCGCACCGCACCCAGCAGCGCCUAUGCUCACCUCCUCCUUCCCCCCACCAGCAACGCGGUAGCCUAG